rnacentral:tRNA from 1 species
GCCGGCGUAGCUCAAUUGGCAGAGCAUCCGCCUUGUAAGCGGGGGGUUGAGGGUUCGAGUCCCUCCGCCGGCACC